UACAGGGGGUGCAAACGUUGCUCGGAAUUAUUGGGCGUAAAGCGCGCGUAGGCGGCUACUUAAGUCGGAUGUGAAAUCCCUGGGCUCAACCCAGGAAGUGCACUCGAAACUGGCAGGCUUGAGUACUGAAGAGGGUCGCGGAAUUCCCGGUGUAGAGGUGAAAUUCGUAGAUAUCGGGAGGAACACCAGUGGCGAAGGCGGCGACCUGGGCAGAUACUGACACUGAGGUGCGAAAGCGUGGGGAGCGAACAGG
rnacentral:rRNA from 1 species